UACGUAGGCAGCAAACGUUGCUCGGAGUUACUGGGCGUAAAGAGUACGUAGGCGGUUUGCCAAGUUUGGUGUGAAAUCUCCUGGCUUAACUGGGAGGGUGCGCCGAAUACUGGCGGGCUUGAGUAUUGGAGAGGAAAGCGGAAUUCCUGGUGUAGCGGUGGAAUGCGCAGAUAUCAGGAGGAACACCGAUGGCGAAGGCAGAUCUCUGGGCCGUAACUGACGCUGAGGAGCGAAAGCAUGGGGAGCGAACAGG
rnacentral:rRNA from 1 species